UUUGCCUACGGGGCGCAGCAGUGGGGAAUAUUGGACAAUGGGGGGAACCCUGAUCCAGCGACGCCGCGUGAGCGAAGAAGGUCUUCGGAUCGUAAAGCUCUGUCCUCGAGGAAGAAGGAAGUGACGGUACUCAAGGAGGAAGCCCCGGCUAACUACGUGCCAGCAGCCGCGGUAAUACGUAGGGGGCAAGCGUUAUCCGGAAUUAUUGGGCGUAAAGAGUACGUAGGUGGUUUUGUAAGCGCGGGGUGAAAGGCAGUGGCUUAACCAUUGUAAGCCUUGCGAACUGCAAGACUUGAGUGCAGGAG
rnacentral:rRNA from 1 species